AGGAUCUUUGAUUUUGGAGCACAAGCCUUCUGCGUGCUACUGACUGGGUCCUGGCCUCCCUCCUUCCAUGGCAUCGUCGUGAAUGGGAAUUUCCACCACUUCCUCCAUUAGGUGUAAACUCACUUUUAGAAAAACAGUGAACCAUGGGACUGUACUAACAGAAGAACAACAAACGCCCACCACAAGCCCCGCCUGUCUGUGACGUGGUGGCCAAUGCAGUUAGGAAGAGAGAGCUCUCAUCUCAGACUCGUUCACAUCGAGCUGGUCAUGACUGGAAAGUUUACACGUAUUGGCAAAUAUGCAUGUUUUAAACUAUGGUGAAACCCCAUCUCUACUGAAAAUAUUAAAAAUUAGCCGGGCAUGGUGGUGGGCGCCUUCAGUGAGUUUCUGAAUUAGUGUGGGGCAUUGAGGAAAUAUUUCAGGGACAGAACUUCACCCCAGCCCAGGCCUUUUCUCACAUGCAAAGGCAGAUGCAAGGGCAGAAGUCAUCGUCUU
rnacentral:lncRNA from 1 species